AAAUACAACGUUGGACUAGCACUGCCCUUCACUCAGUUGACCUAAUUAAUAUAGGAUAGAGAGAUUGGAAAGUUAAAAUGGCAUUUGGAGCUAAGAAUGGCGUGUGUUUUCCCUUCUUUUUUUUCAUAACUUUCUUGGUUAUAUGUUCUGCCACUGCUCGGAGCCCUAUUUUCUUCUCAAAUGAUGAAGCUUCGAGCAUGGUGGGGAGGUCAUUAAAGGUAAUAAACCUUCAAGACUAUGGUGAACCAACUGCAAAUCAUGGGCACGAUCCAUGGAAGGGGGCUAGUUGGGGAGGUAAUGGAGGGCGAAAAGGCUGAGCCAUGAGAGAUUAUUGGAAAUGCAAUACUUUAUAGUUUACAUUAUUUCAGUUAACGCAGUUAAUGCAAUAUUUAGCCUUUCAUUUUAUAAACAUAUGUAUCUUUUAGAGGAAGAACGAGCAAAGUUGCUAAGAUGAAUGAGAAGACAAAGAGAGCUUUAUGUAUAUAUGUUGAUCAUUAAAAAAUAAAAGUCACGUGCACUGUCCUGUUGUAUUUGUAAA